rnacentral:rRNA from 1 species
UACGUAGGGUGCAGGCGUUAAUCGGAAUUACUGGGCGUAAAGCGUGCGCAGGCGGUCUUUUAAGUCAGAUGUGAAAUCCCCGGGCUUAACCUGGGGAACUGCGUUUGAAACUGGAAGGCUAGAGUGUGGCAGAGGGGGGUGGAAUUCCACGUGUAGCAGUGAAAUGCGUAGAUAUGUGGAGGAACACCGAUGGCGAAGGCAGCCCCCUGGGUUAACACUGACGCUCGAUGCACGAAAGCGUGGGGAGCAAACAGG